rnacentral:lncRNA from 1 species
CUGCAAGCCUUGCUCAUAUCUAACCUCAAACAGAAAGCAGCCUACAAAGAAUAAAGAACAGUCAACUCAACAAUGGUCACCUUUUCAUUGUCAUUUCUUUGUCCUGCUUUGCUCUUUAUCUUGCUAAGUUUCAUUUCUACUUUUAACAUAAUGUCAUAUCUCAUUUGGAGAUUUUUUUUUUCACUCAAACUAAAUCAACACA